UAGGGAAUUUUCGUCAAUGGGCGCAAGCCUGAACGAGCAAUGCCGCGUGAGCGAAGAAGGUCUUCGGAUCGUAAAACUCUGUUGCGGGGGAAAAAGGAAGGAAAGAGGAAAUGCUUUUCUUUUGAUGGUACCCCGCCAGCAAAGAUCACGGCUAACGUAACGUGCCAGCAGCCGCGGUAAUACGUAGGUGGCAAGCGUUAUCCGGAAUGAUUGGGCGUAAAGGGUGCGCAGGCUGCGCGUCAAGUCUGAAGUGAAAGGUACGGGCUUAACCGGUACAGGCUUUGGAAACUGGCACGCUAGAGGACAGGAGAGGGCGGUGGAACUCCAUGUGUAGCGGUAAAAUGCGUAGAUAUAUGGAAGAACACCAGUGGCGAAGGCGGCUUACUGGACGGUAACUGACGUUGAGGCUCGAAAGCGUGGGGAGCAAACAGGAUUAGAUACC
rnacentral:rRNA from 1 species